rnacentral:lncRNA from 1 species
GCCCACUGAAAUUCUUCAAACUAGCCAAUCCUAAACUAUUCACUCCGCCCCACCUUGCUUUUUCCACAGAAACCCCAAGGAAGGCUCUGGCCUAAGCCUUGCCCUCACUCCUGUCUCUGGCUCCUGACCACGCUAGUGUCUUCCCAUGUGGCCCUGCAAGGCAUGCUAUGCUUCCUGUCUCCAGAACCUCCUCUUCCUUUUAGGUCGACAGCUUCUAUCCCAGACUGACUGAAUUAGAAGCUGCAUUUUUCUAAGAAAAAUUGCUGGUGUUCA